ensembl:lncRNA
CCUGCUCUUGGGCCAAGCUGGAGACAGAAAGACUGUCUUCACCAGAUGGUCCACGUGCUGGGGCUCCAGACUCCUCAGGGAUUCCAAGGGUGUUCAUUCCAGAGAAUUCUCAAUCAAAGAGCAACCCCAGGCAGACACAUUUUCACACUAGCAUAUCCACAGCAUGUGUGGGGGGAAAAAAAAAGCGAAGAUCUGGGUAGAUCUAAGUGAAACUAAUUAGCUGUCAGCUGUAUUGCAUCUGGAGAUCAAAUAUAAACUGUUGGCAUCAAAAACUGUUCCGGUCCCUGUCAUUUCCGUUCUCCUGGUACCACGCCAUCCUUUGUUGCACGGGCUCAAUGUGUUUCUCCACGCUGACAGCGAUCCAGCAGCCCGCCAAGCGUGGAAUCCCAAGUCCUCUGCUAUCGGCAAUUGUAGCGUCCCUUCAUUUCGUGCCAGAUCUUCCCAACCCAGGGAUCGAACCCAGGUGUCCCGCAUUGCAGGCGGAUUCUUUCCUAGUGGAGCCUCAAGGGAAGCCCGACCUGCUACUGGUGCUCCAAAUCUACAUAC